rnacentral:rRNA from 1 species
GAUGAACGCUGGCGGCGUGCCUAAUACAUGCAAGUCGAGCGAACAGACGAGGAGCUUGCUCCUCUGACGUUAGCGGCGGACGGGUGAGUAACACGUGGAUAACCUACCUAUAAGACUGGGAUAACUUCGGGAAACCGGAGCUAAUACCGGAUAAUAUAUUGAACCGCAUGGUUCAAUAGUGAAAGACGGUUUUGCUGUCACUUAUAGAUGGAUCCGCGCCGCAUUAGCUAGUUGGUAAGGUAACGGCUUACCAAGGCAACGAUGCGUAGCCGACCUGAGAGGGGGAACGGCCACAUUGGGACUGAGAAACGGACCAACCUCCGACGGGAGGCAGCAGUAGGGAAUCUUCCGCAAUGGACGCAAGUCUGACGGGGCAACGACGCGUGAGUGAAGAAGGUGUUCGGAUCGUAAAACUCUGUUGUUAGAGAAGAACAAGUGCUAGAGUAACUGCUAGCGAAGUGACGGUAUCUAACCAGAAAGCCACGGCUAACUACGUG